rnacentral:rRNA from 1 species
UCGGGAAUUUUGGGCAAUGGGGGAAACCCUGACCCAGCAACGCCGCGUGAAGGAUGAAGUAUUUCGGUAUGUAAACUUCGAAAGAAUAGGAAGAAUAAAUGACGGUACUAUUUAUAAGGUCCGGCUAACUACGUGCCAGCAGCCGCGGUAAUACGUAGGGACCAAGCGUUGUUCGGAUUUACUGGGCGUAAAGGGCGCGUAGGCGGCAAUUCAAGUCAUCUGUGAAAUCUCCGGGCUUAACUCGGAACGGUCAGAUGAUACUGCUGUGCUAGAGUACAGAAAGGGCAAUCGGAAUUCUUGGUGUAGCGGUGAAAUGCGUAGAUAUCAAGAGGAACACCUGAGGCGAAGGCGGGUUGCUAGGCUGAUACUGACGCUGAGGCGCGAAAGCUAGGGUAGCAAACGGGAUUAGAUACCCCAGUAGUCCCUGAGCGGGCUGGCAAGGCGCAU